rnacentral:rRNA from 1 species
GAGUUUGAUCCUGGCUCAGGAUGAACGCUGGCGGCGUGCUUAACACAUGCAAGUCGAGCGAAGCACUUAGGAAAGAUUCUUCGGAUGAUUUCCUAUUUGACUGAGCGGCGGACGGGUGAGUAACGCGUGGGUAACCUGCCUCAUACAGGGGGAUAACAGUUAGAAAUGACUGCUAAUACCGCAUAAGACCACAGCACCGCAUGGUGCAGGGGUAAAAACUCCGGUGGUAUGAGAUGGACCCGCGUCUGAUUAGCUGGUUGGUGAGGUAACGGCUCACCAAGGCGACGAUCAGUAGCCGGCUUGAGAGAGUGAACGGCCACAUUGGGACUGAGACACGGCCCAAACUCCUACGGGAGGCAGCAGUGGGGAAUAUUGCACAAUGGGGGAAACCCUGAUGCAGCGACGCCGCGUGAGUGAAGAAGUAUCUCGGUAUGUAAAGCUCUAUCAGCAGGGAAGAAAAUGACGGUACCUGACUAAGAAGCUCCGGCUAAAUACGUGCCAGCCGCCGCGGUAAUUC